rfam:Ruminococcus sp. DSM 100440 contig00039, whole genome shotgun sequence.
GUUGGUGGUGACGCGUUUUGGGGAAACACCCGUACCCAUCCCGAACACGACGGUUAAGCCCAAGACGGCCGAGAGUACUGCACUGGAGACGGUGUGGGAGGGUAGGUGGCCGCCAACU